GAGGACUCUGGUGUUCUCCGAGGGAGAGGGGGGAAACCAUGGAUGCCCCAAGAGUCCUGGUCAGCAGCAGGUGGGAGCUGGGGCGGGCGGGCCGGGGGGCUGACCUGUCCCGGGGAGGGUCCCCGUGGACACGGGAGCAGGGCCUCAUUCCACACCCACCCCGACACAGGGUGUCGUCCCCUUCCUGGGCACCUUCCUCACCGACCUGUUCAUGUUGGAUACUGCCAUGGAGGAGUACCUGGAGGUGCGUGGCCCGGGGCUGGGACGGGGCCCUCAUGUGGGGAGCACAGGGCCCCUGAGCCGAGCCCCGAGGUCUCCGUCCUUGGCAAGUCUCCACUCGGGACAGGCUCCCCAAUGCCCUGGGAGCGAGGGUCCCUGGCCGACGUCUGGGAGGAGAGGAGGGAGGCUGCACCUAGGUCACGGGUCCCGAGAUCGAAUCUGCGGCCUGAAUGCCAAGCAGCAGAGGGCAAUGAGGUCAACCACCGGAAGAAGAACAAGGAGUACCGAGUCCUCACCGAGAUCCUGCUGCUCCAGGUGGCCGCGGAUCGGUACCACAUAGAGCCCGAGCAGCCGUUCCGGGCCUGGUUCCAGGCUGGGACGUGGCUCAGCGAGGACGAGAGCUACACCCUGUCCUGCCAGCUGGAGCCCCGAGCCUGCCCCCAGACAGGAGGAGCCGCCCGCAGUCACCCUCAGGCCUGAGCCGAGGUGCAGGGGCCUCACGGGGACGGGGCCCGUCUGCAGGACACCACUUCCUCCCGCCUCUUCUACUGGGAGGACGAUACGUCAUUGUCUUCACUUGUAAACGGAAGACUUCAAUGUUGUGAUAUUAAAGCCGCUUUACAGUCCAGGAGGAGUUUGGGCCUUUGACUUCCUGUAGUAAUGUGAGAGAGUUAAAGAGUCUCAUAGUCACUUUCCAUCUUUUUCCCCCAGAUAUUCCUUCUUUAUUCACGAGAGACACAGAGAGAGAGGCGGGCUCCCUGUGGGCGGCCUGUCAUGGGCCUCAAACCCGGGGCUCCGGGGUCAGGACCUGAGACAGAGGCAGAGACCCCGACACUGAGCCACCAGGAGACCCUCUUAUGCUCAUUUUAAAGGAGAAAUCUUACAGAGUCACCAGCUCCUGUAUGUGGGAUGAAGUAGAGGAUCCUGCCUCCUCCCAGCUACUCAAGGGCAUCCCCAGGCCCCCCUUCCUCAGAGCACAGUGUCAGGAACUUGGCCAGACAGCAGGGACACCCCUCCGAGCUCCUGAGAUUUAGAGGGUGCAGGGACUUCCACAGGAACAGCAACACCACCGACCUGGGGUCCUGAAGGGGACCGCCCGCCAGGACCCCCUCCUGCCCAGGACAGGGGCUCCCUUUGUACACUUUCAAGGAAGGAGGACUUUUUCUUGCCGCUUUUUCUGAUGUGGAAUUUUUUGGCUUGGUUUUGGGGUUAGACAUUCCCAUUAUUCAGAGCGUGGAGUCGUCUAGGUCAAUCUCUGCAACUGCAUCAACACCAAAGUUGGGACACACGUGUAAAGAGACCCUGUGCUGCACAAGGACGGCAUGAGGCCAGGGGAGGGUCAUUAGUGGAUGACAUAAGGGCAGGCAGGGCUUUCCUUCCUCAGUCUCGAUCUCAGGUUCCAACUUCAUCCCUGACCAAGCCUGGAAUCCUCCUGGGGUCCUCGUCAGUGAUCUCUGACGUCCUUUUCCCUCUUGGUGUGCAUGAGGGGGAGAGAUAUUUGUGUACAUGAAGGCCACAACUGGGCCAGGUUCCAAGAACACCUGUGCUGGCUUCUGAGCUAGGAUCUCCUGCCUCCCUGUACCUCCCUGGGCAGCUCUCUUGAAGGAGCAAUUCCCUGAAGACCCCGGCUUCUUGGUCGAGGGCCUAGUGGCUGCUCUGCCCUGUUGGUGCCUGGUGGGUUUUACAAAGUUCCCCCCUUGCCAGAGUAAUGGUUCGGCUGGAGAAACCCCCACACUCUCCUUGCUGGACAGGGUGACUUUAGGUCUUUGUUUUUCUGAUGUGUGGUCCCAGACGUUCACCAGCUUGCACACUCAGUCUUAGUGUACACACUUACACUGUCUUGUCUUGAAUCACUAACUGAGCCUGACUCCUUAGGUCUUGUACUUGGGUUAUGUCAUGGGGGUUCGUGAAGCUUUCCUGUCAGGAGCUUUGAAGACGACAAAUGAGAGAGGAACAUUCAGGGGCUUCCAUGGGGGGCAAUGCCACCAAGCUGAUGACCUGAGAGAUCAGAUGGCAAUAAAUACAUUCCUUAAUAAUCA
rnacentral:lncRNA from 1 species